rnacentral:lncRNA from 1 species
GUGUGCUUAUAUGGACCAAAUAUGGAUAGUCCUGAUUUUUUUGAUAAUAUUAUGGGCAUUGUUGAUGAUUUUGAAAAUGAAAGUUACAUAAUUUGUGGUGACUUCAAUCUUGUACAGAACCCUUAUAUAGAUUAUUGUAACUACAAACAUACUAAUAAUCCUAAGGCUAGAGAUAGUAUUUUAGGAAUCAUAGAAGAAAGAAGUUUAAUAGAUCCAUUUAGGGAGCUUUAUCCCAAUGUCCAAAGGUAUACUUGGAGAAAAAGAACUCCAUUUAAACAGGCUAGAU